GGGAUGGGGGAUACCGUGUGUGUGUGUGUGUAGCGAAGGCUGAACCACUAUGAGUGGUUGUGUUUUGUGCUCUUAGGGGUGUGUUUGGGAAUUAUGUUUCUAUAAAAAGUAUGCCAUUCUCAGGUUAACACACACACACAUACAAACACACACGAAAACACUCUGACUUAUCACCUGUUGACAGUAAGGCUAAACUCACCAACAUGGACUUGGGCAAGGGCGGCAUUGAUGGACAGGUCAAUAAGGUCAUCGAUCAGGCAGCUGGGGUUGCCAAAAAGAAAAUUGGCGAGGCGAUUGGAGGAGAUAAAAAUAAGGACAAGAAACAGGCGGGAGGUAUUGGCGAUAUGGUGAGCGGUGCGAUUGGCAAAGCAGCAGCUGACAGCGCAGCAGAUCAGGCACUCAAUUUUGGGAAGGGCCUAUUGAAAUGAUUUGCAUUCAUUUGUUGCAUCUUUUCUAAUGCAAUUCCUCACAAAGCAAAUUUAUCCUUCAGUCCUGUACACACACACCUGUAACCUGGAACACACAUUAUCUCUGUAAUACUUUCACUUUCUAAACCAGACAUAAACAAACAAAUCCUGCUUCUGUUGUAAUGGAACAAAGGCACUUUAAUUGUCUGAUUAUUAUCCUGUUAUCAUCAUCCUGUGCAUAACAAGUUAAAUUAAACACCAAUGGAACAAAAA